GGAAAAGAUGACAUUUCCGGUGGCAUCUGGGGCAAACGACACAAGUCAGCAUUUAGUUUCUUGCUUUAGGAAGCGGAAGACUAAUGACCGAAGCUUCAAGACUUUGACAUGUGUGAAAACAUGAAAUGACCCUUGGCUCUUAUUGUUCUUGCUGGUGUGGUAUGUUCACGGCUGAAAAGGUGGUCAGAAGGAGAAAGGAGGAAGUGAGAAGAAAGAAACAGGGAAAUGACAGAGUGUUGCUCAGUUACCCAGGCUGGAGUGCAAUGGCAUGAUCUUGGCUCACUGCAGCCUCCACCUCCUGGGUUCAAGCGGUUCUCGUGCCUCAGUCUCCCAAGUAGCUGGGAUUACAGACGAAAUCUUGCUCUGUUGCCCAGGCUGGAGUGCGAUGGCAUGAUCUUGGCUCACGGCAAACUCCGCCUCCCUGGUUCAAGUGAUUCUCCUGCCUCAGCCUCCCGAGUAGCUGGGAUUACAGGCAUGUGCCACCAUGCCCCGUUGGCCAGGCUGGUCUCGAACACCUUACCUCAGGUGAUCCUCCCACCUUUGGGAUUACAGCAGGCUGAGGAAUUACCAAGGAGGCAGGAGGUGGAGCAAAACACACCAAGCCUGAUGCCAAUCAUUGACAAUAUUAUGACCCUGCAUGUGAUGGAUCAGCUGACACCAUCCAGAUUGGUAAACUGGUUCGUCUGAUCUUGUGCCCUCCACCCAGGAACUGACUCAGCGCAAGAAGACAGCUUCGACUCCUUAUGAUUUCAUCCCUAACCAAUCAGCACUCCUGGCUCACUGGCUUCCCCCAACCCACCAAAUUGUCCUUAAAAACUCUGUUCUCCAAAUGCUGGGGGAGACUGAUUUGAGUAAUAAUAAAACUCUGGUCUCCUGCA